rnacentral:misc_RNA from 1 species
AAUGUUAUAGCAACCCUCUGGCUGAAAAUGCCAGGGGGCACAACUAUACCACCCUUUGUUUAUUACACUUUUGUUGCUUUGGUAGGCCAGUCUUCGGACUGCUGGCUUCGGCCGGACAGCGCCUGCCAGAGGACCUAAACUCUGUUUGUCUAUAAUGUCUGAGUACUAUAUAAUAGUUA